GACGAACGCUGGCGGCGUGCUUAACACAUGCAAGUCGAACGGAAAGGCCCUGCUUUUGUGGGGUGCUCGAGUGGCGAACGGGUGAGUAACACGUGAGUAACCUGCCCUUGACUUUGGGAUAACUUCAGGAAACUGGGGCUAAUACCGGAUAGGAGCUCCUGCUGCAUGGUGGGGGUUGGAAAGUUUCGGCGGUUGGGGAUGGACUCGCGGCUUAUCAGCUUGUUGGUGGGGUAGUGGCUUACCAAGGCUUUGACGGGUAGCCGGCCUGAGAGGGUGACCGGCCAAAAUGGGAAUGAGAUACGGCCCAGACUCCUACGGGAGGCAGCAGUGGGGAAUAUUGCACAAUGGGCGGAAGCCUGAUGCAGCAACGCCGCGUGCGGGAUGACGGCCUUCGGGUUGUAAACCGCUUUCGCCUGUGACGAAGCGUGAGUGACGGUAAUGGGUAAAGAAGCACCGGCUAACUACGUG
rnacentral:rRNA from 1 species